CCUUGCCCUGACCUGAAGAAGAGCUCUGUAUAGCUUGAAAGCUUGUCUCUCUCACCAACAGAAGUUGGUCCAAUAAAAGAUAUGUCACCCACCUUGUCUCUCUAAUAUCAUGGGACUGACACUGCUACAACAUUAGAAUGGGCCAUUUCCUAUGGAGCACACUUGUUUUUCCCUUCAGUGGUCUCUGAAAGGAAAAAGGUAGUAUUCUUCCACCAGUUUUGUCUGGAAACGUUAACUAGAUGUCUGUUUGAGUAGCAGCCGUGUUAGUAUGUAUCUGCAAAAAGAAAAGGAGUACUUGUGGCACCU